AUUUGCUGAUAGAGGGGGGCAGGGUAGGUGGUUAGCUCUCCGUAAAGCAGGUACUUCCCUCUCCCUGCAGCCCGCGCCUUUCAGACCACCACUGACAAGGUGUUGAUAUGUGGAAGUAGUUACCUCAGGUCGACUGUUCCUGCAGCCAGGCUGGGAGCAGUCACUUCAAUGGAAAGCUCUGCGGUCCCUGCCAGCUUCUCUGGUCCACAGAUGUCUCAGGAUGCAGCCCCCUUCCGUGGUUGCAACGUUGGGAUUCGCAAAUGAUCAGCGCACCAGAGUUGUUACUGCCCUUGAGGUGGACCUCAACCAAAGAUCAAAGUGGACCACGGAUACAACAGAAAACGGACACUAAGUUGCAAAGUCCCAAAGUGGCCUGACCCGGUGUUCGGGAAGAAUUCUUCUGGCCCUGGAGAAAUAAGCAACUUCUCUCUCGUCCAACAUCUGACUCCAUAACUGAAGUUGUUGUGAAUGCAGUGUUUCAAAAUUAAGGCAGCUCCAGCGCUUGCGGUUCAUGCAUCUUCUCAUAUACGUUCAGAAAACGCUGUUGCAUUCAGUGUCUCCGUCCCUUUGGAAGUUUGGUGGUUUGCCAGUUUCAAGACUCAUGUUUCAAAUCCUCUCUUCUGUUCUCCUCUCCUCUCUUGCUCUAUAACCUGCUCUCCAGGAACUCCACUUCAUUUUUCAUUCCAGCUACAGUCUUACCCCUAUUAUUACUAUUUCUGGCAAAAAGGAGACAUGGUCACAGUUAUUGGUCUCCAGACAUUACUGGCUUUAGAAAGCAAACAUACUCUGAUAGGAGAAAAAUUAAAAGCUAACUUUCUAUUGCCACAGUGACAGGUAUAAUCAGAGCAAUAGGAACAGUCACAAUAUUGACAAAUGCGCCCAUCUGAGCAUCUUACUGGUUCUCAUGUACACACAUUCACAAGCACACCCAUGAAUGCACACACACACACACACACACACACACACACACACACACACAGCAUAUGAUUAUAUAUCUUCCUAACAGAACAACAAAAAUGGAAAUGGUGCUCUUCAAAGGGCUUGUUUUCUUCUGGAUAAAAUUUUGCAAGAUUGCUAGCAAGAAAGGCUGCACAUGAGCCACAAAGACACAGAAAAUUCCACUUGCUCCAUGAAUUUGCUGACUGAUUUCAUACUGUUGAAUCCCACCCAUUAACACAUGCACUUAGAUUCCAACAAUGACUGACAGACGUUGGGAAGGCAAAAGUAAAAGCUGACCUGCAGACAGUUCAAAUUUGCCAUAUGCUUGCUGUCACUGUUCGCAGUUUGUAGACCAUCCUAAUGUAUGCUUCAGCUGGCUGACCUGAUAUACUUAAAGAACAGGGGGAUGA